GUGCAGUGCAUCCCGGAACAUUUACCUUGAGUAAAUUGGAGUGUUCCAAGGCAGGCGCUCGCUUGUACAUGUUAGCAUGGAAUAAUGGAACAGGACGUUGGUCCUUCUGUUGGUCGAUGGCCCGACGUAAUGAUCAAUAGGGACAGUUGGGGGCAUUCGUAUUCAGCCGUCAGAGGUGAAAUUCUUGGAUUGGCUGAAGACGAACUAGUGCGAAAGCAUUUGCCAAGGAUGUUUUCAUUAAUCAAGAACAAAAGUUAGGGGAUCGAAGACGAUUAGAUACCGUCGUAGUCUUAACCAUAAACGAUGCCGGCUCGGGAUCCGGGGAUGGUUUACAUAGCCUCCCCGGGCACCGUUCGAGAAAUCAAAGCCUUUGGGCUCUGGGGGGAGUAUGGUCGCAAGGCUGAAACUUAAAGAAUGCGAAGGCACACCAGAG
rnacentral:rRNA from 1 species